AUGCUUUUUGGAGAUAACACCAUUAUGAUACAAAACAAUGUAUUGGAGUUGCUAGAUUGGAUCAAGGACUACACACUUUCAAAGCACCACAAUCUAUUGACGUCAAUAGAGAGAUUUUGCAUGAUAAAAAUAGAACACUUUUUUUUUUAUCCAGAAGUCAUGUCUAUCAAAGGGAAACAUAUUUUUCAUUACACAUUUAAGUAUUUUUCUAAACGUGGAGACAUCCAAUUGCUCUGUCCAGCUCUAUGUCCAGCUCUAUGUUCAGCUCUAUGUUCAGCUCUAUGUCCAGCUCUAUGUUUUAAGUCAAGCUCUACUGUAUGUCCAGCUCUAUGUUCAGCUCUAUGUUUUAAGUCAAGCUCUACUGUAUGUCCAGCUCUAUGUUUUAAGUCAAGCUCUACUGUAUGUCCAGCUCUAUGCCCAGCUCUAUGUUCAGCUCUAUGUUCAGCUCUGUUUUAAGUCAAGCUCUACUGUAUGUCCAGCUCUAUGUCCAGCUCUAUGUUUUAAGUCAAGCUCUACUGUAUGUCCAGCUCUAUGUCCAGCUCUAUGUCCAGCUCUAUGUCCAGCUCUAUGUCCAGCUCUAUGUCCAGCUCUGUUUUAAGUCAAGCUCUACUGUAUGUCCAGUUCUUUCAUAGCAAAUUCAGAACAAGACAUAGAAGUAUUAACUUCUCUAAAUGGACUGAAUGAACAACACUGAAACCAGAGAUGAUUAGACAACGGACCGGAUAACAACCAUGCUGUUACUGACCGACAGACACUACUACAACAAAAGGAACAUGUUGUUUUACUCUGUGGAUGUUGUUCUCCUAAAUGAGGGCCCUGCCAGCUCUACCGUCCCACAAACCAGGUUCUGAGAACUGUUCAGGGAGGUAGGCCAUGUACCGUGGCCCUCUAGGCAUGCUCCAAGUCCGUUCAUCUCCCUGACAAAGCACAGGGGCCGUGUUCCAAAUGAUUGUGCUCAGGCCAUGGUCAAAUGAAGUGCACUAUACAGGGAAUAGGGUGUCAAUUGGGACGUGUCCACAAUCAAUAAUAUUAUUUUUGUGUUUCUUAUUGUGUUCUAGAAAAUCUUAUUUUUUUUUACAUUGAAAAGUAUUUCAUGGGCUAUCACUAUUGUGUUUCAUGGGAUAUCACCAUUGUGUUUCAUGGGAUAUCACUAUUGUGUUUCAUGGGAUAUCACUAUUGUGUUUCAUGGGAUAUCACUAUUGUGUUUCAUGGGAUAUCACUAUUGUGUUUCAUGGGAUAUCACUAUUGUGUUUCAUGGGAUAUCACUAUUGUGUUUCAUGGGAUAUCACUAUUGUGUUUCAUGGGAUAUCACUAUUGUGUUUCAUGGGAUAAAGAAGCUUUGAUUGGAUGUUUCUGCUUAAGUCUGACGACACAUGGGAGAGUGUGUUUCUCUGAUUCUAAUGUGUGUGGCAACAGUGUUAACUGAGUGACAAUGUUGCUGUGAUGACAUAGACAGUAUUCUGUUUGCCUUGGGGGAGAGUGAGAGAGGGAAGAGGGCGAGAGAAGGGUGAGAGAGAGAGAGAGAGAGGAGGGGAGAGGGAAAGUGCAUGACUUGAACUUCCUAAGAUUGUCAGGGAAGUUGAACUGAGAUUGACCUGUGAACGAGGAAGUGGAGCAUAGUGCAGUACAUAAUCACGCUGAUAUUACUGAAAGACAGUGUUGAUAGUUUGACAUGAUGAACAGCUAGACAAGGUUUUUCUAUCUGAAAUAAUCAUUUUAACUCACAAAAGUAGAGGUUUGUUUUAUCGCCUGGUAGCUUUGAUGUGUAUGGGAGACGUUUUUUAUGAUGAGACUUUUUUUUAUUUGCGCAGUGGAAAAUACACUGAAAAUAGUUUUCCUGAGGCCUGUGUUAAAAUGGCGUGUACAGUAAUGUAAACAAGCUGUGUAUGUUUAUGUGUCCAUGUGUGUGUGUGUGUGUGUGAUGGUCCUCGGCGUGGUAAAUCCACAACAGAUAAAUAUGCAAGUCAAGGUGAGGAGUAACAGGCGUGUGUCUGCUUUUCUAGCUUCACAUCACAAUGCUAUUUGAUUAGCAUAAGGCUAAAUGUAUUACUGGAAAUCCAAAUUGUGUCUGCUAUUUCCAAAUGUCUUUAACAUGUACAGGUGUCUCUUAAUAUGAGAAUGCUUCUUGGGCGUAUGAUACAAAAACAACACAAAUCCUAUAAUUAAAUCAAGCUGAAUUUGGUCUCGGGAACUUGAAAAGAAAGUAGUAAUUUCUUGAAUUAAUAAAUGAGUGUUGAUAGUUUAUAUUUGGUGGGAUAAUGCAGUUUGCCAUGAAUACAAAACCAUUUAAGGGUCUGGGAACAAAUGAGGAAGUAGCAGAACAGCGAUAACACACUAUACAGUAAUAAUGUAAAUAGCACAUUUGCAAGUGUUAAAUUCUUGGUAUAAAGGGUUAUGAAUGCAAUAUCUGAGUGUUUAUUCUAGUGGGGUUAACACCAGUGUUAUAUCUGAGUGUUGAUUCUAGUGGGGUUAACAACAGUGGUAUAUCUGAGAGUUGAUUCUAGAUGGGUUAACACCAGUGUUAUAUCUGAGUGUUGAUUCUAGAUGGGUUAACACCAGUGUUAUAUCUGAGUGUUGAUUCUAGAUGGGUUAACACCAGUGGUAUAUCUGAGUGUUGAUUCUAGUGGGGUUAACACCAGUGGUAUAUCUGAGUGUUGAUUCUAGUGGGGUUAACACCGGUGUUAUAUCUGAGUGUUGAUUCUAGCAGGGUUAACACCAGUGUUAUAUCUGAGUGUUGAUUCUAGUGGUGUUAACACCAGUGGUAUAUCUGAGUGUUGAUUAAGAUUGCUUUAUUUACAGUUAUAACCGCAAAAGGCUUUGCUAUACUCUUUUACCAUAUAUACCACCAUCCAAAGUGGAGAGCUCCAUGAUUGUAGCUCUGUAGGUUACAGUCGAGUAGACCCUAGUGGGAGGGGGAAUAGGUUAUAGUGGAGUAGACCCUAGUGGGAGGGGGAAUAGGCUACAGUGGAGUAGACCCUAGUGGGAGGGGGAAUAGGCUACAGUCGAGUAGACCCUAGUGGGAGGGGGAAUAG
rnacentral:lncRNA from 13 species